ACAACAAUACAGAGAAAAUUAGCAUGGCUCCUGAGCAAGAAUGACACACAAGUUUGUGAAGUGUUCCAUAUUUUG
rnacentral:snRNA from 2 species